GUGUGGACUUGAGUGCUGGAAGUGGUUGUUCCCUUGUUCAAGUAAUCCAGGAUAGGCUGUCUGUCCUGGAGGCCUAUUCAUGAUUACUUGCACUAGGUGGCAGCCGUUGCCCUUCAUGGAACUCAUGC
ensembl:miRNA mir26a-2 microRNA 26a-2